rnacentral:rRNA from 1 species
GGGGGAAAGAUUUAUCGCUUCUAGAUGGGCCCGCGUCCGAUUAGAUAGUUGGUGGGGUAAUGGCCUACCAAGUCUGCGAUCGGUAGCUGGUCUGAGAGGACGAUCAGCCACACUGGGACUGAGACACGGCCCAGACUCCUACGGGAGGCAGCAGUGGGGAAUAUUGGACAAUGGACGCAAGUCUGAUCCAGCAAUGCCGCGUGUGUGAUGAAGGCCCUAGGGUUGUAAAGC